UCGAGAAUCAUUCGCAAUGGGCGAAAGCCUGACGAUGCGACGCCGUGUGAGCGAUGAAGGCCUUUGGGUCGUAAAGCUCUUUCGCUUGGGAACAAGAGAAGGUGGAUAAUACCCAUCUAAUUUGAGGGUACCAGGUAAAGAAGCACCGGCUAACUACGUGCCAGCAGCUGCGGUAAUACGUAGGGUGCAAGCAUUAAUCGGAUUUAUUGGGCGUAAAGGACGCGUAGGCGGGUUCAUAAGUCUUGUGUGAAAUUCCGGGGCUUAACCUCGGAGCUGCACAGGAAACUAUGAACCUAGAGGGUAGAAGGAGAAAACGGAAUUCCACAAGUAGCGGUGAAAUGCGUAGAUAUGUGGAAGAACACCUGUGGCGAAGGCGGUUUUCUAUUUUAUACCUGACGCUGAGGCGUGAAAGCAAGGGGAUCAAACA
rnacentral:rRNA from 1 species